rnacentral:rRNA from 1 species
GACAGAGGUUGCAAACGUUGUUCGGAAUCACUGGGCAUAAAGCGCACGUAGGCGGUCUGUUAAGUCAGGUGUGAAAGCCCCCGGCUCAACCGGGGAACAGCAUUUGAUACUGGCAGACUCGAGGAUGGUAGGGGUGAGUGGAACUCCAGGUGGAGCGGUGAAAUGCGUAGAUAUCAGGAGGAACACCAAUGGCGAAGGCAGCUCUCUGGUACAUGAUUGACGCUGAGACGCGAAAGCGUGGGGAGCGAACAGG